rnacentral:lncRNA from 1 species
AAAAAUAAUAAAACCCAUUUCUUUCAUAUGAUAGCACAUUCAUUUCCUUUCACUUAUAAAUCAUCAUAUUAACAAUUAUUUCAUAUUAUAACAGUAAUGUAAAUUCAAAUACCAUCAUGUGAUGACAUAACCAUCUUCAUAAAUAUGUAGGGAAAGAAAACAAAGUACUGAAGACAUUCAAAUGUGCAACUACAAAUCAGGGAAAUAUGUGCAAGAGACCAACUAUGUUUAAACUUCAUUCUAUAUUGUAUUGGGCCAACUAAAAAUUAUCUAUGAUGGUUUGAUCUCUAGUGUUUUAUAUUUACUUGUUAUUAAGUAGAAGGGCUAUAUCAAAUCUUCUAGGUUACCCUUAUCCAGUGGCAGCUCAUGGAUGAUUUUUGUGGGAGGACUGAAAAAAAUUAUAAUAAAAAAUUUUUGCUGAAUUUUUUGCUUUGUUCAUUUCUAUAAAAAUGUAAUUAAAAUUAAAUAUAAUAUUUAAAUACAAAAAUAAUUAUCUUACCUUUUAAAAUUUAUUAAAUGUAAUAAGACACAAUUAUAUACAAGCUAAAAUACGUAGUGCGGACUGAAAUGUUUGUAGCCCAUGAUAUAUGUCUGACAAAAAUUUAUAUCAUGGAUUACCUCCAUCUGCUCAAUACACUGACUAUGUGGUGUGACUCAGUCUGCACUGACUACAGCCCUGAUGAGUACGCAAUCACACUGACUCAUACAAUACACACAUACAGAGCACCUAUCGAAGUACCUAGUACCUACAAUUCAAAAAUAAAUAUACUACGAAUGGAAAAAAUAUGUUUUUAUAAAAUAAUUGUAUAGUAAUGUAAUAGCUAUAAUAAUUUAAAAAUGUUUUCAUUUUGAU